CCUGAGAAACCCGAAAGAUCGAAUGGGGAGAUUCAUCGUCAGCGAUUUUGGUACGUGUGCGGUUCGCGAUGCCGGGGACCUCGGUCCCAUGGCACGCGUCCGCAUGUUUUUAUUGCCUGAAUCGUCGGCGUGCACUUCUCCCCUAGUAGGACGUCGCGACCCGUUGGGUGUCGGUCUACGACCCGGGUGGUAGCCUGUCUCGUGUGCGCUUUACGGCGUUACGCGGGGCAGACCCCUGUGUGUCUGGCCGGCUGCCCGGCGGUACUCGCAUGGUAUCUGGCCGCAAAUAUUCGAACUGCGUCCGGCCCGUCGACCCGUCUUGAAACACGGACCAAGGAGUCUAACAUGUGCGCGAGUCAUUGGGAUCUAUUAAGCCUAAAGGCGCAAUGAAAGUGAAGGUCGGCCUUGCGCCAACCGAGGGAGGAUGGGCCGCGUCACGAUGCGGUCCCGCACUCCCGGGGCGUCUCGUUCUCAUUGCGAGAAGAGGCGCACCCAG
rnacentral:rRNA from 1 species